rnacentral:rRNA from 1 species
GAAACCUUGUCUGAAUAUGGGGGGACCAUCCUCCAAGGCUAAAUACUCCUGACUGACCGAUAGUGAACCAGUACCGUGAGGGAAAGGCGAAAAGAACCCCUGUGAGGGGAGUGAAAUAGAUCCUGAAACCGCAUGCAUACAAGCAGUGGGAGCCGACUUGUUCGGUGACUGCGUACCUUUUGUAUAAUGGGUCAGCGACUUACAUUCAGUAGCAAGGUUAACCGUAUAGGGGAGCCGUAGAGAAAUCGAGUCUUAAUAGGGCGUUUAGUUGCUGGGUGUAGACCCGAAACCAGGCGAUCUAUCCAUGAGCAGGUUGAAGGUUGGGUAACACUAACUGGAGGACCGAACCCACUGUCGUUGAAAAGCCAGGGGAUGACUUGUGGAUAGGGGUGAAAGGCUAAUCAAGCCUGGUGAUAGCUGGUUCUCCCCGAAAGCUAUUUAGGUAGCGCCUCGGACGAAUACCAUAGGGGGUAGAGCACUGUUUCGGCUAGGGGGUCAUCCCGACUUACCAAACCGAUGCAAACUCCGAAUACCUAUGAGUACUAUCCGGGAGACAGACUGCGGGUGCUAACGUCCGUAGUCAAGAGGAAAACAAUCCAGACCGCCAGCUAAGGCCCCAAAAUCAUAGUUAAGUGGGAAACGAUGUGGGAAGGCAUAGACAGCUAGGAGGUUGGCUUAGAAGCAGCCACCCUUUAAAGAAAGCGUAAUAGCUCACUAGUCGAGUCGGCCUGCGCGGAAGAUGUAACGGGGCUAAAACUAUGUGCCGAAGCUGCGGAUGUAUACUUUGUAUACGUGGUAGGGGAGCGUUCUGUAAGCCGAUGAAGGUGUGUUGAGAAGCAUGCUGGAGGUAUCAGAAGUGCGAAUGCUGACGUGAGUAACGACAAAACGGGUGAAAAACCCGUUCGCCGAAAGACCAAGGGUUCCAGUCCAACGUUAAUCGGGGCUGGGUGAGUCGACCCCUAAGGCGAGGCCGAAAGGCGUAGUCGAUGGGAAAAUGGUUAAUAUUCCAUUACUUCUGUGUAAUGCGAUGAGAGGACGGAGAAGGCUAAAUCAGCCUGGCGUUGGUUGUCCAGGUGAAAGGAUGUAGGCAUGUAUCUUAGGCAAAUCCGGGGUACUCUAUGCUGAGAUCUGAUAGCAAGCUGUACUUGUACAGCGAAGUGGUUGAUGCCAUGCUUCCAGGAAAAGUCUCUAAGCUUCAGUUACACAGGAAUCGUACCCGAAACCGACACAGGUGGUCAGGUCGAGUAGACCAAGGCGCUUGAGAGAACUCUGCUGAAGGAACUAGGCAAAAUGGUACCGUAACUUCGGGAGAAGGUACGCUGUUGUUGGUGAUGGAACUCGCUUCCUGAGCU